CUAUGGAGAUUAUGAAACACCUUCGUGUGUUUCGUAAGUACGCCUAUUCUUCUUUUGUUCAGUUUUGAAGGAACUUAUGUUCUUUCAAGAUGUUCUUUGAAAACUAGAUAUCGACAUCCAAACAAUAUGCAAGGCAGAUAGAUUUAUCUAAUCUGCGCCAAGCAAGAAUCUUUGAUGUGCAAACAUCAUAUAAG
rnacentral:misc_RNA from 1 species